UAUCUAUGUAUUCUCAGUAAUCUUUCUGAAAAAAAAAUAGUCGAAAUAAUGCAACCCUAUUUUCAAUUGCUUUUCAUAAAUAAAUGUCUGGAAGGAAAAGUCACAUCAGUUUAUUUUCGAAUUAUAAAAUUUAAUAAUUUUGCUGCAGCAACAACACCAAUUCAAGCUAGCUCUAGUACUGAAAGUUCAAAAUGGAUCUUCUGAUUGCGUAUCGUUUUACCGUUAUUACAUUAAUGAUAAGUUUAACACUAAUCGUUCUUAUGCUCCGUAUGACACUUAAUGUUAAGGAAAAGAAAUAAUUUGCAAAAUGUCGUUAAAGCUACGAAUUUGAAGUGCCAGAGAGAAAUGAGAGCAGAUGCCUUUGUAUGGACACCUAAAAAUACCAUGCAAGUUCAUACGGCCCGUCAUCAAAUUUGGAAAACUUGAAAAUACAUCGAAUGAACUAAAUCGGACCAUCAUUAUAGUGAUACUUUCUUAAUAUACUGAGAGAUCAUAAUAUUUGAAACAAAGGCCUGUUUUGUACUAAAUGAAUGAGUUCUGUUAUUUGCCGGUUGUGUUACGUUAUUUGCGAAACUGCAACCAGUUUCAAUGGUUAUUUAUACAUAUUUAUGGACUGAUAAAUUAAAAAAAGUAUGAUUAAUUGAUAAUACAUUGUUUGUUAAAACAUGAGUACAUAUGUCGAAAAUGGUGUUUAAUUUUAUAUUUCUUGAAAUAUUCUUGUAGAGAGGUGAUUAUAUAGAAUCUAAGUCGGAAGUCCCAUUACUGCUAUAGGACACAUCACAUUAAAUUUGAACUUUCGCGAUGAAUGUAAGAACAGCGUAUACUGCAAAGAAAUAUUAGCAACAAUAUAGAGAACAAUACAAAUAUUUUCAGAACAGAUGCCUAUUUCAUGAGAUAUCUGUAUGUAGCAGUCCCCAUAAAGUAUUGCCAAAGUAAUUUCUAGUAUAUCUACAUACAUACAUGACUUACUCUAGCGAUGAAAUAUUAAGCCGUUUUAAUACCUUGGUGCAAAAAAUGUUUCCGUAUAUAAAUUAGAUUAACAGAGAGAUUAACAAAAUGUUGAGAAAACUACAUACUAAGGACCCACCCAUCUUUUGUUUUGAAUUGAAUUCGAUUGACUUUAAGUAUUUUAUUUUCUUUCCUAUUUAUGUAUAUUGAAUAUACAUAUUGCCCCAUGCAAUUCUUGUUGAUAGUUUCGCAUAUUACUAACAUUUGCAAUCUACAUAUGUUGAAAUUUCUAAUUUUAUGCACUUUCAAAAAUAAAUGCCAGGAAAGAAAAGUCUCAACAAUUUAUUUUUGAAUCAUGUCAUAUAUGUACAUAUAUUAUUAAAGAAUAGUUUUCUGCUUAGCAACAACAUCAACUCAAGCACAACAGCUUUAAUAUUACGAGUUCGGAAUGGAUCUUCUGGUUGCUUAUCGUUUUACUGUUAUUACAUUAAUGCUAAGUUUAACACUGAUCGUGCUUAUCCUUCGUUUGACAAUUGAUGUUAAUCAAAAGAAAUAAUUUGCAAAAUGGCGUUAAGUAAAUAUUGAAAAUUUACAUUCCAAAAUACAUAUGAAAUUGUAGUACCAGUGGGCGUUGGAACAGACGAAAUAAGCGCAGUUGCCACAUUAAAACACCAAUAAAGUUUUUUCAUGCAGACAAAAAAAUUUAUUGGAAACCAGGCGUUGAACUCAAUAACUGACGAGAAUGCAGGGCGACCACGUUGCAUGCG